rnacentral:sRNA from 1 species
UGGAAGCUUGGCCCGUUCCGUGCGUCUCC